rnacentral:rRNA from 1 species
AUUGAACGCUGGCGGCAGGCCUAACACAUGCAAGUCGAGCGGGGUUUUCGGACCUAGCGGCGGACGGGUGAGUAAUGCGUAGGAAGCUACCCGAUAGAGGGGGAUACCAGUUGGAAACGACGGUUAAUACCGCAUAAUGUCUACGGACCAAAGUGUGGGACCUUCGGGCCACAUGCAAUCGGAUGCGCCUACGUGGGAUUAGCUAGUUGGUGAGGUAAUGGCUCACCAAGGCGACGAUCCCUAGCUGGUCUGAGAGGAUGAUCAGCCACACUGGAACUGAGACACGGUCCAGACUCCUACGGGAGGCAGCAGUGGGGAAUAUUGGACAAUGGGCGCAAGCCUGAUCCAGCCAUGCCGCGUGUGUGAAGAAGGCCUUCGGGUUGUAAAGCACUUUCAGUAGGGAGGAAGCGUUGUGUGUUAAUAGUACACAGCGUCGACGUUACCUACAGAAGAAGCACCGGCUAACUCUGUGCCAGCCGCCGCAGUAACAC